GACGAAGGUGGCGAGCGUUGUUCGGAAUCACUGGGCAUAAAGCGCACGUAGGCGGCGGCGUAAGUCGGAUGUGAAAUCCCUGGGCCUAACCCAGGAACUGCGUCCGAUACUGCGUUGCUUGAGGACCAAAGGGGUGCAUGGAAUUCCCGGUGGAGCGGUGAAAUGCGUUGAUAUCGGGAGGAACACCUGUGGCGAAAGCGGCUCACUGGACCAUAACUGACGCUGAUGCACGAAAGCUAGGGGAGCAAACAGG
rnacentral:rRNA from 1 species